UACGUAGGGGCCUAGCGUUGUCCGGAUUUAUUGGGCGUAAAGAGCUCGUAGGCGGUUCGGUAAGUCAGGUGUGAAAUCUCCACGCUCAACGUGGAGGCGCCACCUGAAACUGCCGUGACUCGAGUCCGGUAGGGGAGUGUGGAAUUCCGAGUGUAGAGGUGAAAUUCGUAGAUAUUCGGAAGAACACCAGUGGCGAAGGCGGCUCACUGGACCGGCAUUGACGCUGAGGUGCGAAAGCGUGGGGAGUAAACAGG
rnacentral:rRNA from 1 species